UACAGAGGGGGCAAGCGUUGUUCGGAAUUACUGGGCGUAAAGGGCGCGUAGGCGGCCUUCUAAGUCAGACGUGAAAUCCCUCGGCUCAACCGGGGAACUGCGUCUGAGACUGAAAGGCUUGAAUCCGGGAGAGGAAUGCGGAAUUCCAGGUGUAGCGGUGAAAUGCGUAGAUAUCUGGAGGAACACCGGUGGCGAAGGCGGCAUCCUGGACCGGCAUUGACGCUGAGGCGCGAAAGCCAGGGGAGCAAACGGG
rnacentral:rRNA from 1 species